UUGCAGCCAAUUAAGCCGACUGUGCUCUUUUCCCCAUGGGGGCCCAGUGUGCAAUGGCUGCAAAUAGCAGGCUCCUUGGUAGUGUAUGCAACCUGUUGCCUGUACAGGCUGCCCUAAGGGACCUUGGAAACAACU
rnacentral:snoRNA from 1 species